AACGAACGCUGGCGGCAUGCCUAACACAUGCAAGUCGAACGGGACCUUCGGGUCUAGCGUCGCACGGAUGCGUAACGCGUGGGAACCUGCCCUUGGGUUCGCACUAACUCCCGGGAAGGGGUGCCAAUAGCGGAUAAUAUCUUGGAUCCAAAGAUUGAUCGCAUUUGGGUGGGCCAGCGUGGGCUAACCAAGUUGGUAGGGUAAAUGCCUACCAAGGGGAGGUUCCAUAACUGGUUUGUGAGGAUGCGCAGCGACACUGGUACUGGGACACGGCCCAGAAUUCUACGGGAGGGAGCAAUGGGGAAUAUUGGACAGUGGGGGAAAGCCUGAACCAGCAAUGCCUCGUGAGUGAUGAAGGCCUUAGGGUUGUAAAGCUCUCUUACCCGGGAUGAGAAUGACAGUACCGGGAGAAUAAGCUCCGGCUAACUCCGUG
rnacentral:rRNA from 1 species